UACAAAAGUUAUUUGUUGGUGCUAUUGGGGAGGAUUGGAUGGUGCGGUUCCAACCUCCACCGCACCAUUACAUGAAUAUUUUCAAAAUGGCACCAUUAAAUGAUAGAUUGGCACCAAUUAAUCCAUUUGUUCUUUCUUAAACCUAAAACACCACACACAACACACAUACGGUGUAACAAAGAGAGAGAUGCGAGAGGGUUGAUGGCGGCGAUUAGGGAUGAGGGUUCACAGCGGUGGAGAUACUAUGACGUUAGGGUUUCUUUGAGGGGGUUGAUGGUGGCAACGUGAUCGGUACCAACAAAGAGUGAGGGUUCAUAUGCUAGAGGCGUUAACGGCAGAUAUCCAUACGUUCUAGGGUUCUAAUCUAACUCCGACGAAUCUACGGCGAGGAUCUUUUUUAACUUUCCGGUGAAGGUUCGGCAAACUCCAGCAAAGACUUGAGCCACAUAUCCAUAUAAGUGCCAAUCUACAAAGAACUUAGCAGAGGUCGAAGCUUCAGACAUCAAUCUGGUACCAAAGGAAUGGGGGGAUUGAAGAUGGUGAUACAGGAUUUGAGAUCUGGAUUGAAGCGAAGGAGCAGGGGAACAGGUGGCUCGCCGGCAAUUUUUUUUUACAAAUGGGUUUUAUAAAAGGUGCGGUCGGUUUUACUAAAUCAUGCGGUUCUCCACACCGCAUCACCAAACAUUCUAAUUUGUUGGUGCCCAGUUAGUUGGUGCGGUGUAAACAUAGCACUUUUAAAUUGAUUUCACCGCAGCUUCAAACAUUAUCUGUACUAGUGUAAAAA